UGACGAGUGGCGGACGGGUGAGUAAUGUCUGGGAAACUGCCUGAUGGACGGGGAUAACUACUGGAAACGGUAGCUAAUACCGCAUAACGUCGCAAGACCAAAGAGGGGGACCUUCGGGCCUCUUGCCAUCGGAUGUGCCCAGAUGGGAUUAGCUAGUAGGUGGGGUAACGGCUCACCUAGGCGACGAUCCCUAGCUGGUCUGAGAGGAUGACCAGCCACACUGGAACUGAGACACGGUCCAGACUCCUACGGGAGGCAGCAGUGGGGAAUAUUGCACAAUGGGCGCAAGCCUGAUGCAGCCAUGCGGCGUGUAUGAAGAAGGCCUUCGGGUUGUAAAGUACUUUCAGCGGGGAGGAAGGCGAUGAGGUUAAUAACCUUGUCGAUUGACGUUACCCGCAGAAGAAGCACCGGCUAACUCCGUGCCAGCAGCCGCGGUAAUACGGAGGGUGCAAGCGUUAAUCGGAAUUACUGGGCGUAAAGCGCACGCAGGCGGUCUGUCAAGUCGGAUGUGAAAUCCCCGGGCUCAACCUGGGAACUGCAUUCGAAACUGGCAGGCUAGAGUCUUGUAGAGGGGGGUAGAAUUCCAGGUGUAGCGGUGAAAUGCGUA
rnacentral:rRNA from 1 species